rnacentral:rRNA from 1 species
GACAGAGGUCCCAAGCGUUAGGCGGAAUCACUGGGCUUAAAGCGUGUGUAGGCGGAUUUGUAAGUACCUUGUGAAAUCCCGAGGCUCAACCUCGGAACUGCCUUUGAUACUGGCGACCUUGGAGUCCGGGAGAGGUGAGUGGAACUCCGAGUGUAGAGGUGAAAUUCGUAGAUAUUCGGAAGAACACCAGUGGCGAAGGCGGCUCACUGGCCCGGUACUGACGCUCAUGUGCGAAAGCGUGGGGAGCAAACAGG